CCAGACCUCUCCCCUGCCGUCCUGCAAUGUGUCACUGCUUGACUUUCCUCCAUCUCUGACUGGAUGUCCUCACGCUCUCUAAAACUAAACCUCUCUAAAACUGAACUCCUUGUCUUUCAUCCUCUUAAUACUGAUCCUCUUCUUUCGCUCUCUCUUCAAGUCAGUGGUAUCCAGACAAAAAAAACAGAGCCGCUAGGUCUGAGACUAGAGAGACGAUAAAACAGAGCCGCUAGGUCUGAGAAUAGAGAGACGAUAAAACAGAGCCGCCAAGUCUGAGAUUAACACUCA